GUGUGAAGGAGGAGAGCUGUUCCACUCUACAUAGAUUCCUAAAGCCAGGAGCGACCGUGGCUGCUGGAUUGCAGAUCUGGAUUCUGGACUCCAGGUCUGAGCAGGACUUGGCUUUCAUUCCUACUAUUACACCAGGACAACAACGACGAGGAGAGAGAGAGAGGGGCAACAGGUAGAGGAAGCUGAACCAGCUGCUGCAAGGCCGCGGAGCUGAAGAGACUGGUGGUGUUCCUGUGGGUGCUGUGACCUUGUGACCUGCUACUGCCCCAUAUUCAGAUUUCACAACAAGACUUCUCCUUGAGCGGGACAUGGACACAAUAACAAAUAAACAGAAUCAAGUGAAAGGGACGGAGGGACGGAGGGACGAUUCAAUGUUCCACCCUGAAGCCACUGGUUGUGAGCAAGAGGGAACUCAACAAUUUGAACUGCCAAGAAGCUCCUUUUCCCUCCACCGACCGACAUCCAACAUGAUUGACUGCUUUGCACAGCCCCUCCACUCCUCUGCAGCAGUGCAGCGUGGGAAAACGGCGGAGAAUCUUCAAUAACAGGUGUGCAAAGGAGAUGGGUUUCUGUAAUGGAAGUCAGAGCAUCAGAUCUAACUGACCAGCACUGAAGGGUUAUGAUGCUCACCCAACUCACGACAACAGUUGAUCUUCAAAGCAGGUGAAUCUACAGGGUCUCAAUUAGAGACAAGGAUGCUUUCCCUCUUUUGCAGCUCCUCUUUGUUAUUCAGUCUGAGAAAACAGGUGGAUUUGAACUUAACAUAUUCAGCAGUAAAUUAAAGACAUCACAGUUUGUGCAGUGUGUGUUCCACAGUAAAUUAAAGAUAUCACAGUUUGUGCAGUGCGUAUAUUUGUUUUGUGGCCAUCAGACAAAGACCCGAGCAUUUCAAAGCACUCCCUAGUACACUCUCGAUGUUUCAUCUGUCUGAAGUCCUUUCCUUGUACGAUCAAUAUAUUGUCAUGUGUCUUCCCAUCAAUAAUUUGACAAUAGGCUCAUGCUGUUGCUUCGGCAGAAGCUGACAACGUGACAUUUACUUGAACGAUGACACCUAAUGGUUUAUGUCGCCCCGCACUAUUUUGAUGGAUGGAACGCACGCUGCCGUCUCCAGCUUUGCAGUUAUAGCAUCUCUUCGUCUUAUUGUCUCAUAAGUCAUCAAGCUUUUGAAGGACUCUUGCCGUUGCUCUGAUGCCUCUGUGUAACUCUGCUGUAUUAGUGGUAGCUUUUAACAACGUUAAUAAAUAGUUAGGUUUUAGGUCUCAGUCCUCGAUUAAAUUUUCUUUCCUCCGAGGCUCGAUUUGUCUGUCGACCUGUCGCCUGUCUGACACAUGCAAACAUGAAAGCUGACAUGAAUGCACACCCACAUGUUCAUACUGCUUUCAUUGGCACAUACAUGCACACAUAGCUAUGUUCUUUCACUCAUCCCUCUCUUUGUCUCUCUUUUCCUUUGUUCACCCUCCUGCACCCUUUUAUCUCUGUCUUUUACUCCCUCUUUUGCUCUGU